GGUUGUACUUUUUCUUAAUACUUAACUUGGGAGCAAAUGCCAGAAAGUUAAUUUUUAAAUAAAUUUAAGGAUUUAAAAGGAUUAUUAUCACUAUAAAAUAAAUAUUAUGUAACAUAGUAAUAGUAUUUUUGCACUAUGUCUAGACUACAGCUGAAUAUAAUAGUUUAUUUGAAACUAUUAAAUUUUAUUUUAUAUAAUUCAGAAAUGAUUUUUGAAGAAAAAAAAAUGUUUACAAUACGUCUGUUAUACAACCGUUUUUGCACCAAUGAAGAAAAACAUUAGUUUAAUAAAAUUGUUUCUAUUUUAAUGAUUAGUAGAUAUCGAAAUUUAAUUUUAUCUAGAAAAAUCGGGGAAUGUCCACACCGAUAUUCAGUCGUCAAGGUUCGGCUUAUCGAUGGAACAUUAAACUUUGGCGGGUGCCUAUUUUCACAGAUUGUAAAUAGAAAUCUCAGUGUAUUCUAUAAAUUACUGUGCAGUCAGCACCGUGCGACCAUAUGUAGUUUGAACUACGUUCUCACAACCAUGUCUUUACAAAUUUAAAUAAUUCUUUAUUAAAAAUUAAUAUUUUUUUAUCAUAAUAUCCCAAUGACUACUCUAUAAGAUUACAAAUUUGACCACUGGAUUGUAUCAUUAAUCUCAGUUAUCGUUUUACAUUUUUCGAAAAAAAAAGUACUAACAAUGGCAGAUUUAUUGGAAUGUAUCGUAGCCACCGGCAGUAGUGUCAGCCGCGACGAACUGAUUGAUUUUGGUACACCAGCGGAGAAAUCUCCAAAAAAAAAUUUAAAUAUGUAUAAAAAAUACAAAAAAAUCAAAAAAAGCUUUGGACGUGAAAUAACCAAACAUUUCAAGUUCAGUGAUGCUUUUUACGGGAAUCGGGUUACAUAUCCAGCAUUUUAAUAAGAAUUCAAUUAAAAAUUUCGAGUACGUCAUUGAAAAAAACUAAAAUUAUAAAUUUAUUACAUGUUACAAUUAAUUUAUGGACUAUGUUAUUGGUAUAAAUGUUUUGUAAUUUUACA